GUGAUGCUGCAGUCCACCGUCGGUUCCCUUCCUUCACAAGGGAGGGUGCUGAGGAAAGUCCGCCCACCGACAAAACGUGACCGUGCGAAAGCGCGGGCGUCGAGAGGCGCGGCAACCGCUCAGAAACGAAACCCCCUGUGCUUAAGGGAAUGAUGCGUGCGAAGGCAUCGGUGACGAUGCUGAGCUAACCCGCUGACGUCGGCACAGGAACGGUUGAAACGGCGAGCCCUCACGGGUGCAAGUCCUUCGAGACGCUUAGUUGAAUGUGGACAACGGCCAUCGCCGCACGGCAUCAAGGCGCGCGGUUUGGGCCGUACAAAAGGCGGCUUACCAGCAUCAC
rnacentral:RNase_P_RNA from 1 species